rnacentral:rRNA from 1 species
ACCAAGUAUACGAUCUAUAGCUGGUUUUAGAGGAUGAUCAGCNACACUGGGACUGAGACACGGCCCAGACUCCUACGGGAGGCAGCAGUGGGGAAUCUUAGACAAUGGGCGCAAGCCUGAUCUAGCCAUGCCGCGUGUGUGAUGAAGGUCUUAGGAUCGUAAAGCACUUUCGCCAGGGAUGAUAAUGACAGUACCUGGUA